ACCUGCGGAAGGAUCAUUGUCGUGACCAUAACAAAUCUAGACUGUGAAUAUGUCAUCCAUGCCGUCGGGUGAUGGUCCCAGCACCGUCUCUCGGCAUAGGUCCCUUUCCUUCUGAUGGAGGGGAUGUGGCCCAAAAGAACCCACGGCGCUGUAUAGCGUCAAGGAACACUAUGUUGCACGCCCGGGGCCAUGACUGGCUUGCUGAACAUUCCCUGUGCUGCGAUGCUAACUGAAUACAUAAGACUCUCGGCAACGGAUAUCUUGGCUCUCGCAUCGAUGAAGAACGUAGCAAAAUGCGAUACCUGGUGUGAAUUGCAGAAUCCCGUGAACCAUCGAGUUUUUGAACGCAAGUUGCGCCUAAGGCCUCUUGGUUGAGGGCACGUCUGCCUGGGCGUCACGCCAAAAGACACUCCCAUGCAAUCGUUGUGUGGGAUGUGGUGUUUGGCCUUCCAUUGUACCUAUAAGGUGUGGUAGGCUAAAGGAAGUGGCUGCUGGCUAUGGUGCUGGUCACAACAAUUGGUGGAUGACACAUGUUGUUCUCAAAGUUGUGGCUUGUACUGAUUUCAGCGACAUUGGCCCUUUGGACCCAUGGAUCGCAUUGAAUGCUUGCACCGUGACCCCAGGUCAGUCGGGAAUACCCGCUGAAUUUAAGCAUAUCAAUAAG
rnacentral:rRNA from 1 species